GGGCACUGCCUGGCCGGGAGCCUCCCGCCUCCACCAGGGCCUGUGCUUCCUGGAGUCUGACCCCUGCCAGAGCAUUGGCCCUGGGAAGGUGAGGGGUCAUCUUGCGUGGGCCUGGUCA
rnacentral:precursor_RNA from 12 species